rnacentral:rRNA from 1 species
GACGAACGCUGGCGGCGUGCUUAACACAUGCAAGUCGAACGAAGUGGCGAACGGGUGAGUAACGCGUAAUCAACCUGCCCUUCAGAGGGGGACAACAGUUGGAAACGACUGCUAAUACCGCAUACUGAAGGAGGGGAUUGCGUUUGAUUAGCUAGUUGGAGGGGUAACGGCCCACCAAUGCGAUGAUCAGUAGCCGGUCUGGGGGGAUGAACGGCCAAAUUGGGACUGAGACACGGGCCAGAAUCCUUCGGGAGGCAGCAGGGGGGAAUCUUCCGCAAUGGAGGAAAGGCUGACGGAGCAACGCCGCGGUAGUGAUGACGGGCUUCGGGGUGUAAAGCUCUGUUAAGCGGGACGCGGUACCGGAAGAGAAAGCCACGGCUAACUACGUGCCAGCAGCCGCGGUAAUUC